rnacentral:tRNA from 1 species
UUAGCUCAGCGGCAUAAGCGCCUGCCUUGCAAGCAGGUAGUCGUGAGUUCGAUCCUCAGA